CGGCAACAGCUCAAAUUUGAAAUCUGGCCUCUUUGGGGUCCGAGUUGUAAUUUGGAGAGGAUGUUUCGGGUACGGUCCGGGCUUAAAUUUCUUGGAACAGAAUGUCACAGAGGGUGAGAAUCCCGUCUGGAGUCCGGACACGGCCUAUGUGAAACUCCUUCGACGAGUCGAGUUGUUUGGGAAUGCAGCUCUAAAUGGGUGGUAAAUUUCAUCUAAAGCUAAAUAUUGGCCAGAGACCGAUAGCGCACAAGUAGAGUGAUCGAAAGAUGAAAAGCACUUUGAAAAGAGAGUUAAAAAGUACGUGAAAUUGUUGAAAGGGAAGCGCUGGCAACCAGACUUGCACGUCGGGGUUCCCCCUUGCUUUUGCCUGGGUUACUCCCCGGCGUUCAGGCCAACAUCGGUUUCGGGGGUUGGUUAAAGGCCUUGGGAAUGUACUUACCCUCCGGGGUAAACUUAUAGCCCAAGGUGUCAUGCGACCUCCCGGGACCGAGGAACGCGCUUCGGCUCGGAUGUUGGCGUAAUGGUUGUCAGCGACCCGUCUUGAAACACGGACCAAGGAGUCUAACAUCUAUGCGAGUGUUAGGGUGUCAAACCCUUACGCGGAAUGAAAGUGAACGGAGGUAGGAAGCCGUUAGGCUGCACUAUCGACCGAUCCUGAAGUUUACGGAUGGAUUUGAGUAAGAGCAUAGCUGUUGGGACCCGAAAGAUGGUGAACUAUGCCUGAAUAGGGUGAAGCCAGAGGAAACUCUGGUGGAGGCUCGCA
rnacentral:rRNA from 1 species